AUUGAACGCUGGCGGCAUGCCUUACACAUGCAAGUCGAACGGCAGCACGGGAGCAAUCCUGGUGGCGAGUGGCGAACGGGUGAGUAAUAUAUCGGAACGUGCCCAGUCGUGGGGGAUAACGCAGCGAAAGCUGUGCUAAUACCGCAUACGAUCUCUGGAUGAAAGCGGGGGACCGUAAGGCCUCGCGCGAUUGGCGCGGCCGAUAUCAGAUUAGCUAGUUGGUGGGGUAAAGGCCCGCCAAGGCGACGAUCUGUAGCUGGUCUGAGAGGACGACCAGCCACACUGGAACUGAGACACGGUUCAGACUCCUACGGGAGGCAGCAGUGGGGAAUUUUGGACAAUGGGCGCAAGCCUGAUCCAGCAAUGCCGCGUGCAGGAUGAAGGCCUUCGGGUUGUAAACUGCUUUUGUACGGAACGAAACGGCGAGCUCUAAUAAAGUUUGCUAAUGACGGUACCGUAAGAAUAAGCACCGGCUAACUACGUGCCAGCAGCCGCAGUAA
rnacentral:rRNA from 1 species